UGGAGAGUUUGAUCCUGGCUCAGAUUGAACGCUGGCGGCAGGCCUAACACAUGCAAGUCGAGCGGCAGCGACUUAACUGAACCUUCGGGGAACGUUAAGGGCGGCGAGCGGCGGACGGGUGAGUAAUGCCUGGGAAUAUGCCCUGGAUGUUGGGGGAUAACUAUUGGAAACGAUAGCUAAUACCGCAUAAUCUCUUCGGAGCAAAGAGGGGGACCUUCGGGCCUCUCGCGUCAGGAUUAGCCCAGGUGGGAUUAGCUUGUUGGUGAGGUAAUGGCUCACCAAGGCAACGAUCCCUAGCUGGUCUGAGAGGAUGAUCAGCCACACUGGAACUGAGACACGGUCCAGACUCCUACGGGAGGCAGCAGUGGGGAAUAUUGCACAAUGGGGGAAACCCUGAUGCAGCCAUGCCGCGUGUGUGAAGAAGGCCUUCCGGGUUGUAAAGCACUUUCAGUAGGGAGGAAGGUAGUGUAGUUAACACCUGCAUUAUUUGACGUUACCUACAGAAGAAGCACCGGCUAACUCCGUGCCAGCAGCCGCGUUA
rnacentral:rRNA from 1 species